AGUGAACGCUGGCGGUAGGCCUAACACAUGCAAGUCGAACGGCAGCACAGUAAGAGCUUGCUCUUACGGGUGGCGAGUGGCGGACGGGUGAGGAAUACAUCGGAAUCUACUUUUUCGUGGGGGAUAACGUAGGGAAACUUACGCUAAUACCGCAUACGACCUACGGGUGAAAGCAGGGGAUCUUCGGACCUUGCGCGAUUGAAUGAGCCGAUGUCGGAUUAGCUAGUUGGCGGGGUAAAGGCCCACCAAGGCGGCGAUCCGUAGCUGGUCUGAGAGGAUGAUCAGCCACACUGGAACUGAGACACGGUCCAGACUCCUAAGGGAGGCAGCAGUGGGGAAUAUUGGACAAUGGGCGCAAGCCUGAUCCAGCCAUACCGCGUGAGUGAAGAAGGUCUUCGGGUUGUAAAGCCCUUUUGUUGGGAAAGAAAAGCAGCAGGUUAAUACCCCGCUGUUCUGACGGUACCAAAAGAAUAAGCACCGGCUAACUUCGUG
rnacentral:rRNA from 1 species